rnacentral:lncRNA from 1 species
AAUGUUUGAAGCAUGAUUCUUGCCAACUGAUACAACCCUGUUUAAGCCAUACGCAGACCCCUCAAACUUUGUCCAAAAUGAAUGAAUUAGGACUCUUUGGAAAGCUUACAUUAAUAGGAAUAACUCUUAUGUUGAACACUUUUCCAUUUGUAACUUGUAUCAUGGUGAAUUUUGAGGUGGAAGUUUGGAAAUUUCAACAUGUCAAAAUAUUUUCUAAGUGUC